GUUUUGGCUUCAAGAUACAUGGUCUACAACACUUCAGGAGGAAACCGUGUAAUCCUCUGCAACACCACCGCACUCUCCUGCCAGUUGAGCAACUUUGAUCCUUUUACUACUGAAGUGACAGCUAACAACGCAGUGGGAGAAAGCAUCCCCAGUCAAAACAUUACAGGUCCAGUGAGUGCACGCAGACGAAGAGAUCUGCAGGAUACUUAACUCUAUGUAGAAAGGAAAAUCUUAAAAUCCCAGAGGGGCUGACAGCAACGCUAAAUGGAGAUUCUUUGCACGUUCAAUAGAAGAAAGGAGGGAGGAUGAAAAGAGUGGCUGUCAAGAAAGGCAACAACCUAAGCAACUACUCCAGGCCAAUGUGCAGAAACGCUGGCGCCUUGUAAUAAACACAAAUAUUCAAAUUAACUUGCAUAGACUGGAUAAAUAAAAAAAUCACUUGGGUUAAAGGCUUCUCUUCUCCACUCAAUAGCAUAUAUUACAGAACUGUUUCUUGCUUAAUAAAAACAACUCUAGGAAAGUAACUGCACAAACAAAGUGAUUUUUCAAAUAUAAAACCACAAUUUUUUUCUUUUUGGGGUGCUCUGUCAAAAAUGUUGAUAUCAAAUCUGACAAAAACCUUUAUAUCUGAAUGCCUAGCCAAUUAUAGCUGUUUAACAACAAGCUGUUGAAAUUAUUUUUGAUAAAAAUGGUAAAAUUUUUAAGACAGGAAAUUAGAUUUUUUUUUUUAAUGAUUGUCGAAAUAAGAAAAUUUUUUUAAAUGGGCAAUUUAUCAAUUACCAUCUUUAAAGCCACUCUGUAUAUUUUCUUGCUGAUGUACUAUAAGAUUUUCUUUUGUUAACUACAUAUAUGUAUAACUGUUCCAUAUAUGAUGAAAUAAAAAAA